rnacentral:rRNA from 1 species
GAAGUGUGGACGCCAGUCUGCAUGGAGCCGACCUUGAAAUACCACCCUUUAAUGUUUGAUGUUCUAACGUUGACCCGUAAUCCGGGUUGCGGACAGUGUCUGGUGGGUAGUUUGACUGGGGCGGUCUCCUCCUAAAGAGUAACGGAGGAGCACGAAGGUUGGCUAAUCCUGGUCGGACAUCAGGAGGUUAGUGCAAUGGCAUAAGCCAGCUUGACUGCGAGCGUGACGGCGCGAGCAGGUGCGAAAGCAGGUCAUAGUGAUCCGGUGGUUCUGAAUGGAAGGGCCAUCGCUCAACGGAUAAAAGGUACUCCGGGGAUAACAGGCUGAUACCGCCCAAGAGUUCAUAUCGACGGCGGUGUUUGGCACCUCGAUGUCGGCUCAUCACAUCCUGGGGCUGAAGUAGGUCCCAAGGGUAUGGCUGUUCGCCAUUUAAAGUGGUACGCGAGCUGGGUUUAGAACGUCGUGAGACAGUUCGGUCCCUAUCUGCCGUGGGCGCUGGAGAACUGAGGGGGGCUGCUCCUAGUACGAGAGGACCGGAGUGGACGCAUCACUGGUGUU